UACAGAGGUCUCAAGCGUUGUUCGGAUUCAUUGGGCGUAAAGGGUGCGUAGGUGGCAUGGUCAGUCGGAUGUGAAAUCCCGGGGCUCAACCCCGGAACUGCAUUCGAUACUGCCGCGCUAGAGUACUGGAGAGGAGAUUGGAAUUUACGGUGUAGCAGUGAAAUGCGUAGAUAUCGUAAGGAAGACCAGUGGCGAAGGCGGAUCUCUGGACAGUUACUGACACUGAGCACGAAGGCCAGGGAGCAAACGGG
rnacentral:rRNA from 1 species